rnacentral:rRNA from 1 species
CCUACGUGAGGCAGCAGUGGGGAAUAUUGCACAAUGGGGGAAACCCUGAUGCAGCGACGCCGCGUGAGUGAAGAAGUCUUUCGGUAUGUAAAGCUCUAUCAGCAGGGAAGAAAAUGACGGUACCUGAUUAAGAAGCCCCGGUUAACUACGUGCCAGCAGCCGCGGUAAUACGUAGGGGGCAAGCGUUAUCCGGAUUUACUGGGUGUAAAGGGGGGGGAGACGGCAGGACAAGUCUGGAGUGAAAUGCAGGGGCUUAACCCCGGAACUGCUGUGGAAACUGUGGAGCUAGAGUGCAGGAGAGGUAAGUGGAAUUCCUGGUGUAGCGGUGAAAUGCGUAGAUAUUAGGAGGAACACCAGUGGCGAAGGCGGCUUACUGGACUGUAACUGACGUUGAGGCUCGAAAGCGUGGGGAGCAAACAGGAUUAGAUACCCGAGUAGUC